GUCCCUGCCGAGCAAUGAAUAGCGCGUUGGACUUCUCAUCCAAAGGUCGUGGCUUCGAAUCCCACCUGGGGUG
rnacentral:tRNA from 1 species